rnacentral:rRNA from 1 species
AUAUGAGAGUUUGAUCCUGGCUCAGGAUGAACGCUGGCGGCGUGCUUAACACAUGCAAGUCGAACGAAGCUGCUAAAAGGAAGUCUUCGGAUGGAAUUUUAGUAGACUUAGUGGCGGACGGGUGAGUAACGCGUGGAUAACCUGCCUUAUACAGGGGGAUAACGGAGAGAAAUUUCCGCUAAGACCGCAUAAGACCACAGUACCGCAUGGUGCAGGGGUAAAAUAUUUAUAGGUAUAAGAUGGAUCCGCGUCCGAUUAGCUAGUUGGUGAGGUAGAGGCUCCCCAAGGCGACGAUCGGUAGCCGGCCUGAGAGGGUGAACGGCCACAUUGGGACUGAGACACGGCCCAAACUCCUACGGGAGGCAGCAGUGGGGAAUAUUGGACAAUGGGGGAAACCCUGAUCCAGCGACGCCGCGUGAGUGAAGAAGUAUUUCGGUAUGUAAAGCUCUAUCAGCAGGGAAGAAAAUGACGGUACCUGACUAAGAAGCCCCGGCUAACUACGUGCCAGCAGCCGCGGUAAUACGUAGGGGGCAAGCGUUAUCCGGAUUUACUGGGUGUAAAGGGAGCGCAGACGGCGAAGCAAGUCUGAAGUGAAAUGCAUGGGCUCAACCAAUGAAUUGCUUUGGAAACUGUUUGGCUUGAGUGUCGGAGGGGUAAGCGGAAUUCCU